rnacentral:rRNA from 1 species
GACGAACGCUGGCGGCGUGCUUAAUACAUGCAAGUCGAACGGACGGGCCCUGCUCUUGUGGGGUGCUCGUGUGCCGAACAGGUGAGUGAAACACGAGUAUACUGCACUUGUCUGUGUGAUAACUCUAGGGAACACGGGCUCAUACAGGAUAGAAGCUCCUGAACCAUGGUGGGCGUUGGAAAGAUUCGGCGGUGGGGGAUGGACUCGCGGCUUAUCCGCUUCUUGGUGGGGUAGUGGCUUACAAAGCCUGCGACGGGUAGGCGGCCUUGGAGGGUGACCGGCCACAAUGGUACUGAGAUACGGCGCAGACGCCUACGGGAGGCAGCAGGGGGGAGUAUGGCAGAAUGGGCGGAAGCCUGAGACAGCAACGCCGCGUGCGGGAUGACGGGCUUCGGGGGGUAAACCGCUUUCUACUGUGACGAAGCGUUAGUGACGGUAAUUGGUAAGGAAGCACCGGCUAACUACGUG